rnacentral:rRNA from 1 species
UACGGGAGGCAGCAGUGGGGAAUAUUGCACAAUGGGGGGAACCCUGAUGCAGCGACGCCGCGUGAAGGAAGAAGUAUCUCGGUAUGUAAACUUCUAUCAGCAGGGAAGAAAAUGACGGUACCUGACUAAGAAGCCCCGGCUAACUACGUGCCAGCAGCCGCGGUAAU